AAUCCUCAAAAAAAUCGUUCAAUUCGGAUCAACGUACGAUAAAUUGCAGAAAAGUGUUAUCAAAUCCUACAUAUCAUCAUCAUUCAAGAAAUAAUUAAAAUUGAAAUAUCUUGAACGUGUUUAUGCAACGAUUACGAUAACUAGCAUAAUCAUGAGUAGUAUAAUUAUAAUUGUCUAGACAAUUUCCUUUUGAAAUUGCACUUUUUCUUUCUCUCUCUCCUUUUUUUCUUUAUGCAAAUCGUAGAGCAAAAGUUCAUUCGAACAAUCGAUAAUAUAAUCAAUUUAUUCGUAUAGUUUCCUUUGAAAUUUUUUCUAUGAAUUUUUUUUUUCUUUCUUUUAACAAAAACCAUGGAAUUCGCUCUAAGAACCAAGAUUAAAUCGGAACAAUUGUGGUUGUUGAUAUUAAAAGCAUAAUUUUAUUUCAAGAGAAAGGAAGAGAGGGGACAGAUGUAUACCAUGCCACUUGUAUUUUUCCAUAGACGUCGGAAGCGGUCAUUGACAACGAGACUCCGUUUGAUAGUCGUCAACUAGACGACUCACUGACUACAAUACUAAUCGACUUCUAUAAAUCGUAAUAGCCAUAAGACAGCGACCUUUGCAGACACAUUCUCUUAGAAGUUCAAUACGCGUGCAUGCAUAUUUUCUCGAUAAAAAAAAGAAAAAGAAAGAAAAUAUAUAUACGAGUAAAACUUGGAAUUAACAUUUGGAUUUAUUUCUAUUAAAUUAUAUUAAUUAAGAAUAAUUAUUGUUAUAUCUACGAUCAUUUAUAUUAUUUACUAAAUUUCGUUGAAGUUUCUUUUUCAGGAGGAAGUUUUAACCGUGUACGUAUAUAUAGAUAAUGUUGAUGGACAGAAGCAAAGAUUACGAGUGGAAAAUUUUUGUUUAAUUUCAUCGAGUAGAUAGCUGUCAGAAAUUUUAUCUCAUCUAAUCUAGUCUAUUGAGAUAUUCAAGAGCACAAAUCGAUGAUUUGAACGAUUAGUUUAAUCAUAUGGUUCGUAAGUUUUUUUCAUUUCUUAAUUUGUCACAGAAUCAUUUCACGAGAUAGACGAUGGAACGAUCAAACGAAUCAUAUCACGUUAGUUAAAAUACACAUUUUGUUUCUUCUAUUGAUAGUAGAACCAAUAAAUGAUAAAAUUCGCUUGAAAAAUGAACGUAAAGCGAUAAAAUUCCAUUUCGAAUUUGAAGUGCAUCUGUCAGCGUAUUUCAUUUUCGAAGUCGUGCAACUCGGAAAGUAAGAAGAGUCGCGUCAAUCAUUUCGAUGAACCGUAUAACUUAUCUUUUGCUAAUUCAGUUAUAUUUAAGCUAAUGAUAAUUGGACAAUCAUAUAAAUAAACUCAACAAAUUGUUUUCCUCUAUAAUGUUACUAUAGAAUAUAUUAUUUCUCAAAAUGACUGUCAAAGAUAUAAUUUUUUUUUUUUUUAAUUAUUAUCAAUUUAUUAAACUCUUUAUCAUGCAAAUAUUAAUUUUCCAGAAAAUUUUUAUUUUUCGCAUAUAAAUAAUCUCCAGCAAAGAAAAAAAAAAAAAAAGAAAAAAAGAA